CCACGGUAUGUGCUGGUCGAACAUCGU
rnacentral:sRNA from 1 species